UACGUAGGGUGCGAGCGUUAAUCGGAAUUACUGGGCGUAAAGCGUGCGCAGGCGGUUCGCCAAGUCAGGUGUGAAAUCCCCGGGCUUAACCUGGGAAUUGCGCUUGAAACUAGCGGGCUUGAGUGCGGCAGAGGGGGGUGGAAUUCCACGUGUAGCAGUGAAAUGCGUAGAGAUGUGGAGGAACACCGAUGGCGAAGGCAGCCCCCUGGGUCGACACUGACGCUCAUGCCCGAAAGCGUGGGGAGCAAACAGG
rnacentral:rRNA from 1 species